rnacentral:rRNA from 1 species
AGGACGAACGCUGGCGGCGUGCUUAACGACAUGCAAGUCGAGCGAUGAAGCUCUUCGGAAGUGGAUUAGCGGCGGACGGGUGAGUAACACGUGGGUAACCUGCCUCAUAGAGGGGAAUAGCCUUCCGAAAGGAAGAUUAAUACCGCAUAAGAUGUAAUAUCGCAUGAUAUAGCAAUUAAAGGAGUAAUCCGCUAUGAGAUGGACCCGCGUCGCAUUAGCUAGUUGGUGAGGUAACGGCUCACCAAGGCGACGAUGCGUAGCCGACCUGAGAGGGUGAUCGGCCACAUUGGGACUGAGACACGGCCCAGACUCCUACGGGAGGCAGCAGUGGGGAAUAUUGCACAAUGGGGGAAACCCUGAUGCAGCCAACGCCGCGUGAGUGAUGACGGUCUUCGGAUUGUAAAGCUCUGUCUUCAGGGACGAUAAUGACGGUACCUGAGGAGGAAGCCACGGCUAACUACGUGCCAGCAGCCGC